UCUGGGAGUAAACGGGUGGUACCCGAAAAUUCGAAAGGGGAGAUUCAAGUCUCGCCGCGCGCCGGGCGUCGGACGCGAACAGGGAUGGUGUCUUCGCGGCCGAGGGGCGACUCUCGGUCCGCCGGGGAUACCACUCCGCGGCCGCCGUUUUCCCCGGUGUCGGAGUGACGCACUUCUCCCCGAGUAGGACGUCGCGACCCGUCGAGCGCCGGCCUAAGGUCCUGGGAGGAGUCUGUGCGGUCUGCCUAUGCCGACCGCGCAUGACCCUGGGAUUCCCGGCCGGGAGCGUGACGGUACGAAGCUUGGAAGGAGUUGACGCGCCAAUCAUUGGCGUUCGGCCCUCCGCAAGCGCCCGUGGGAGUCCGCGUUUCGUGCCUGGCACGAAUGCGGUCCCUCCGCGGGGCUGUUUGCGAUUUGGAGGUGUCCUCGGACGGCGUUGACUCCCCAGUCGGCGACGCUUCAGGUUGGAUGGUCUACCCGACCC
rnacentral:rRNA from 1 species